CCUACGGGUGGCAGCAGUGAGGAAUAUUGGUCAAUGGGCGCUAGCCUGAACCAGCCAAGCCGCGUGAGGGAUGAAUGCCCUAUGGGUUGUAAACUUCUUUUAUAUGGGAAUAAAGUGCGGUACUUAUACUGCUAUGCAUGUACCUUAUGAAUAAGGAUCGGCUAACUCCGUGCCAGCAGCCGCGGUAAUACGGAGGAUCCGAGCGUUAUCCGGGUUUAAUGGGUUUAAAGGGUGCGUAGGCGGGUUGUUAAGUCAGUUGUGAAAGUUUGCGGCUCAACCGGAAAAUUGCCGUUGAUACUGGCGUCCUUGAGUACAGGAGAGGUAGGCGGAAUUCGUGGUGUAGCGGUGAAAUGCUUAGAUAUCACGAAGAACUCCGAUUGCGAAGGCAGCCUGCUGGACUGUAACUGACGCUGAGGCACGAAAGUGUGGGUAUCAAACAGGAUUAGAUACCCGUGUAGUC
rnacentral:rRNA from 1 species